AACGACUCUCGGCAACGGAUAUCUCGGCUCUUGCAUCGAUGAAGAACGUAGCGAAAUGCGAUACUUGGUGUGAAUUGCAGAAUCCCGUGAACCAUCGAGUUUUUGAACGCAAGUUGCGCCCGAGGCCUUUAGGUUGAGGGCACGUCUGCCUGGGC
rnacentral:rRNA from 1 species